rnacentral:tRNA from 1 species
GGUAAAGUGGCCGAGUAUUAAGGCGGUAGGUUGUAGCCCUAAAGACAGAGGUUCAAGUCCUUUCUUUAUCA